rnacentral:lncRNA from 1 species
UUUGUUAUAAAGUGGGGUUAUGGUUCCCACAUUAUUGCAAGACAAACUCUUCUUCCUCCCAUUGAAUCAAGAGUAAAAACUCCAUUGUUGCUGUCUUGCAAAUUCUUGUGGAAAACCAUAUACCAACUUUGGUUAUUGUCAUAAUAUUAUUAUUGUUGUGAAACCAUUACAUAUUGUUUAAAUCUUGUGAAACAAUUGUUGUGGAUACAUAUACUUCAAGACAAUCUUGAAGAAAGGAUCAAGGAGUUCACAAGGACAUUUGGACAAUCAUCAAAGGAGGUUCAACAAUUUCCACUUAUGGAUUCAGGUUAGCUUCCGCUCAUGUAGUUGUAAUUCCGAAUUGUUCAAUAUGAAGGUUAUUGUAUUUAGUUGGAAUCAUAAUCCUAUCAAUUGGUAUCAGAGCCACCUUCAUUUUUUGAUAAUUUGGAUGUUCAUAAG